GUCGGCAGCGUUGAAGGCCAUAAUGUUGUACCGCUUCGUGGUGGUCUUGGGGACGCGCACCACGUAUUCGGUCACCACCUGACUGCUGGAGCCCAGAGAGGCCAUCCCUGUAGCAGACAUGGGGGCAGCACUUCCGGGUGGGGGUCUCAGAGGGAUCCGCGCAUACGCCGCCGCUCUCCGCUCCGCACACCCGUUGCGCCGUACUGCGCAGGACCGGAAGCGCCGUUCACCGGAAGCGUC
rnacentral:lncRNA from 1 species